rnacentral:rRNA from 1 species
UACGUAGGGGGCAAGCGUUGUCCGGAAUCAUUGGGCGUAAAGCGCGUGUAGGCGGCUCGAUAAGUCUGCUGUGAAAGUCAGGGGCUCAACCCUUGAAAGCCGGCCGAUACUGUCGGACUAGAGUCCGGAAGAGGCAAGUGGAAUUCCCGGUGUAGCGGUGAAAUGCGCAGAUAUCGGGAAGAACACCCGUGGCGAAAGCGGCUCUCUGGAACGGUACUGACGCUGAGACGCGAAAGCGUGGGGAGCGAACAGG